GCAAAAAGCCUUUGCGUUUCAUUGUAUUGAAAAGAAGGGGGGGGGGGGUUACAUCCUCCUAAGAGGCUAUUACAGCAUCGUUACAAGAGGAUUAGUGAACAUCCCAGGAUGUGGCAAGUGUUAUGACCGGUACAACGUACCAACGGAGGAGGCCCAAUGGGCAGGGUUAAUUACGGGCUUAGCCCAAGUUAUCUUACCUAUCUUAGAGUCCAAGUUAUAUUAGAGUCCAAGUUAUCUAGGGUUUAGUGGAGGUUGUCCUCCUAUAUAAACACAUGUACCCCUUCGAUAUUAAGCAGACAAUAAACAGUAUAUUCUGUUGUCGUCUCCCUUAGGAGACGAGAGCCCCAAACCCUAGCCGCCUCUCUCUCUCUCUCUCACGCCGCGACGGCGCCCAACCGCCGGCGCCGGCGUCCCCAACCUUGCAGCCCGCACUUCCACCCCUACAACCUACGUCCGAGACCUGGUAGAACCCUAGCCUCUACCAAUUUGGUAUCAGGUAGCUUGGGUUCGAUGAGUUUGUCGGACCUUCCCACCACCCCCGCCACCUCGCAGCAGCCGCCGCCGCCGGCCGCCUCCGGUCCCGCGGCCCUGGCGGCCGAACCCGCCCCCGUCCUCUCCCCGGCGGCGAUGUCCUCGGCGAUCCGCGACCCCAACCUGGCGGUCUCGAACCUCCGGACUUUCCUCCAGGCUCCGUACGCAACCCCGCCACCACCGCCUCCGCCGGCGGCGCCCUUCGCGCCACCGCCCCCGGCCACUGUCGCGCCCCAGGGCCUGCCGAUCACCCAGGUCCGGUGGCCGCCGUCGCCGUCCCCGCUACCGACGUGGAUUUUCACGCCGACCUACACGACGGCGCCACUACAGCCGACGGUGUUGCAGCCACCCGCCCCCACCUUCGGGGGGUUCGGCAGGUACACUGAUCCGUACCCCGGGAGCUCCGUGGUGUCGCAGCACUCGCCUUCCGCCGCGCUGGGUCGUCACGAGGGCACCUACGCGGCCUCGCCACACGUGCAACAGCCACCCCGCUUCACCAAGCUGGAGUUCGCCACCUACGACGGCACCGUCGACCCCCUGAACUGGCUCAAUCAGUGCGACCAGUUUUUUAGGGGGCAGCGGACCAUGGCGUCCGACCGCACGUGGAUCGCCUCCUACCACCUCCGUGGCGCCGCCCAGACUUGGUACUACGCCCUCGAGCAGGACGAGGGCGGGAUGCCUCCGUGGGAGCGCUUUCGCGACCUGUGUCUCCUCCGGUUCGGCCCCCCAUACGUGGGAGCCGCUUGGCCGAGCUCGGUCGCCUUCCCUUCACCACCUCGGUGCAGGACUUCGCUGACCGCUUCCAGACGUUGGCCUACCAUGCGCCUGACGUCACGGCUCGCCAACGCGCCGAGCUCUUCGUCGGAGGCCUUCCCGACCACAUCCGCAUCGACGUCGAGAUGCGCGACCCCCAGGACCUGCAGACGGCCAUGUAUUACGCACGCGCGUACGAGCAGCGCGCCAACGCCCUGCAGCAGGCGUUCCCGGGCCGCGGCACGCGUCCCCCGACCCGCCCUGCCCCGGCGGCCGCCCCCCCGACAUGCCCCGCCCUGCCGGCCGCUACUGCGGCUGCCCCCGCGCCGACACGCACCUUCCGGCGCUUGACGUCGGCCGAGCAGCUCGAGCGGCGCCGCAAGGGCCUGUGCUUCAACUGCGACGAGCCGUAUGCGCCGGGUCAUACGUGCGCCCGCCUGUUCUACUUGGAGACCGUCGACGACGCGGAGGUGGAGGCCCUCAUCGCGGAGCUCGACGCCACCACAGUCUCCGAGGCCGGCGUCACGACCUACGGGCCGGUCGACGCGACCGCCUUCGUCGUCUCCCUUCAUGCCAUGGCUGGCAUCAAGACGGCAAAGACGAUGCUGCUUCCGAUGACGAUCAACGGGGAGCGUCUCACCGCGCUCGUGGACACGGGUUCGACGCACAACUUCCUGUCCGAGUUCAGCGUCACCGCCGCCAACGGGGACCGCCUUGCUUGCCAGGGGGUGGCGCGGCAGGUUCCGUCCUCAUCGGCGACGAGACGUUCUCCAUCGACUGCGUCGGCAUCGACCUGGGCUGCUACGACUUCAUCCUCGGCAUCGACUUCCUGUCCAUUCUCGGCCCCAUCCUUUGGGACCUCGAUGUGCUGUCCCUCAUCUUCUGGCGCGAGGGCGUCCGUCGCGUUCAGUGGACAGGCAUCGGCGGCUCCGGCGUCGUGACUCCACAGCUCCAGUUGAUGGCGGCCGCACUAGACGAGGCGCAUCCCCUCCUGGCCGACCUCCUGCAGCAGCACAGCGACAUCUUUGACGAGCCACAGGGCCUCCCUCCCGCGCGGCCCUGUGACCACCGCAUCCACCUGCUGCCGGACACGGCACCUGUAGCCGUGCGUUCGUACCGGUACCCUCAGCUGCAGAAAGACGAGCUCGAGCGUUAGGUGGCGGUCAUGCUCGCGCAGGGCAUCAUCCGGAUUUCGACAUCGUCGUUCUCCGCCCCGGUGCUCCUUGUGCGCAAGCCCGACGGCACAUGGCGCUUCUGCAUCGACUACCGCGCCCUCAACGCCCUGACGUCCAAGGACAAGUUCCCCAUCCCCGUCGUGGAUGAGCUCUUGGACGAGCUACACGGAGCGCGCUUCUUCACCAAGCUCGACCUUCGCUCGGGCUACCAUCAGGUGCGCAUGCACCCUGACGACAUCGAGAAGACGGCGUUCCGCACUCACCAUGGCCACUUCGAGUUCCUGGUGAUGCCGUUCGGCCUCUCCAACGCGCCAGCGACCUUCCAGGCCCUGAUGAACGACGUGCUCAGCCCAUACUUGCGCCGCUUUGUGCUUGUUUUCUUUGAUGACAUUCUCAUCUAUAGUGCAUCUUGGGCGGAGCACCUACAACACGUGGCCAUCAUCUUCAACGAGCUUCGAGCGCAUCGUCUUCACCUCAAGCGCUCGAAGUGCUCGUUCGGCACGACCUCCGUCGCGUACCUGGGGCACGUCAUCUCGGCGGACGGGGUAGCGAUGGACGCGGACAAGGUCGCCGCCGUCGCCGCGUGGCCGAUCCCGCGGUCACUGCGGGCGCUCCGCGGCUUCUUGGGCCUCGCCGGCUACUACCGGAAGUACAUCCGGGACUUCGGCCUCAUCGCCGCGCCACUGACGCGUCUCCUUCGACGCGACGCCUUCUCCUGGGACGAGGAGGCGACUACGGCAUUCGAGGUUCUCCAGCGGGCGCUCACGACGGGACCCGUCCUCCAGAUGCCGGACUUUGAUAUGCCGUUCAUGGUGGACUGCAACGCCUCUGGCAUCGGCUUCGACGCCGUCCUCACCAGGGUGAGGGAUCGCUCGCCUUCUUCAGCCGCCCCUUCGCCGCUCGCCAUCACAAGCUCGCGGCCUACGAGCGCGAGCUUAUUGGGCUGGUUCAGUUGGUGCGCCACUGGCGGCCUUAUCUUUGGGGCCGGUCAUUCCGUGUGCGCACGGACCACUACAGCCUCAAGUUCUUGCUGGACCAGCGCCUCUCCACAGUUCCGCAACACUAGUGGAUCAGCAAGCUCUUUGGCUUCGACUUCACCGUUGAGUACCGCCCCGGCCGUCUCAACACGGUCGCCGACGCCUUGUCCCGCCGCGACACUGAGGAUGUCGCGGACGACGUCGCCAUGGCUGGCACUAUCAUGUGCAUUCGCUCCGGGCCAUCUUUCGCCUUCAUCGACGACAUUCGUCGGGCAACUUCGACGGCCGUGGACGCCCAGGGCCUGCGCCAGCGCCUUGACGCUGGCGAGCUGGACGCGCCCUGGCGCUUGGACGAGGGGCUGCUCCUACAUGGCCGCCGCAUCUUCGUGCCCGACCAUGGCGACCUGCGCCACCAGGUCCUGACCUUGGCGCACUCUGCAGGGCACGAGGGCGUGCAGAAGACUCUCCAUCGUCUCCGUGUUGAUUUUUACAUCCCCGGUGAUGGCGCGAUGGUCCGCGACUAGGUGCGGUCGUGCGUGACGUACCAGCGGAACAAGACGGAGACACUACGACCCGCGGGUCUACUGCAGCCGCUGGACGUACCCUCCCAGGUGUGGGCGGAUAUUUCCAUGGACUUCAUCGAGGGCCUUCCCAAGGUGGGCGGCAAGUCCGUCAUCCUCACAGUGGUUGACCGCUUCUCCAAGUACGCGCACUUCAUCGCCCUGGGUCAUCCAUAUACAGCCGCCUCCGUGGCGCGGGCCUUCUUCGACGGCAUCGUCCGCCUCCACGGUUUUCCGUCGUCCAUCGUCAGCGAUCGUGAUCCCGUGUUCACGGGACAUGUCUGGCGGGAUCUCUUUCGACUGGCGGGUGUGAAGCUCCGCAUGAGCACGGCGUUCCACCCUCAGACAGACGGCCAAUCCGAGGUGGUCAACAAGGUGAUCGCCAUGUACCUGCGCUGUGUUACUGGUGAUCGUCCACGAGCUUGGGUGGACUGGUUGGCGUGGGCGGAGUACUGCUACAACACCUCCUAUCACUCCGCCCUGCGCACCACGCCUUUCGAGGUGGUCUACGGGCGCCCACCUCCGGCGAUGCUCCCUUACGAGCCUGGGACGGCUCGGUCCGAGACGGCGGGCGACUUACUCCGCACCCGCGACGACAUUCUGGAUGAGGCACGCCAGCGUCUUCUCCAAGCACAGCAGCUGGCUCGGAAGUACUACGAUGCUCAUCAUCGCGAGGCGGAGUUCGCGAUGGGCGAUUGGGUGUGGCUGCGCCUCCUCCACAGGACCACGCAGUCUCUGGACCCGCGCUCCAAGCGCAAAUUGGGACCUUGCUACGCCAGUCCCUUUCGUGUGCUGGAGUGUGUCGGCACACUCGCAUACCGCUUGGAGCUGCCAGCUGGUUCUCGCCUCCACGACGUCUUCCAUGUCGGCUUACUGAAGGCCUACCGCGGGGACCCUCCUGUAGCGACGCCGGCCCUUCCUCCUACUUCGGAUGGCCGCCUCCUUCCAGCUUCCGCACAGGUGGCGAAGGUGCUGCAGGCGCAGCAGCGUCACGGCGUCUGGCAUGUCUUGGUACAGUGUACCGGCCUGCCAGAGGAGGAAGCGACUUGGGAGAAGCUCGACGAUUUCCGCCAGCAGUUUCCAGAUGUUCAGCUCGAGGACGAGCUGUUUGAGAAGGCGGGGAGAGAUGUUAUGACCGGUACAACGUACCAAUGGAGGAGGCCCAAUGGGCAGGGUUAAUUACGGGCUUAGCCCAAGUUAUCUUACCUAUCUUAGAGUCCAAGUUAUAUUAGAGUCCAAGUUAUCUAGGGUUUAGUGGAGGUUGUCCUCCUAUAUAAACACAUGUACCCCUUCGAUAUUAAGCAGACAAUAAACAGUAUAUUCUGUUGUCGUCUCCCUUAGGAGACGAGAGCCCCAAACCCUAGCCGCCUCUCUCUCUCUCUCUCACGCCGCGACGGCGCCCAACCGCCGGCGCCGGCGUCCCCAACCUUGCAGCCCGCACUUCCACCCCUACAACCUACGUCCGAGACCUGGUAGAACCCUAGCCUCUACCAACUACAACAUCUUUACUUCAGGAAACAACUAACAUGAAUAAGUUCCCAAAAAAGUUCUACAUGCAAUCCUCAAUUUACUUCACUGAUGUAUGAUAAGAGCUCAAAUUCAGUUUAUGGUGAUAGUAAAAAAAAGUAAAAUUUAAGAAAUAAUAAUUCAGUAUAAAAAGGUUAAAUGUGAUUAUUCACUGUAUUUUUUCCAAGACAUUUUGAUUUUGAGAAUGAAAUUUCAGUGGUUUUCAUCAGAAAAUAACCUUGGAAUUUCGGACGCAAAGUUUUUGAGCCUGAGCUCAAAUGAGCUCGGGUGAACAGUAAAAUCGAAAAAAAUGCAAAAUAAAUUCAAAAAUAUCUGAAUUUUAUUUGUGAUAAACAUUGACAGAAUUUUUAAGUGCUUG
rnacentral:lncRNA from 1 species